AACCUCCUGUCCGUUCCUAGUCGCCGAUUCUUCUGGGUAACAGUUAAGUGGGAACUGCUGACUUUCUGCUGGUUUCUGGCAGCAGAUGACAGGCUGGGACGGCAACGGGAGAAGGAGCACGGCUUAACUCCGCGCGGAGGGUCAUCCGAGAGCGCGCCGCUGCCUGCUGGCAUGUGGACCGGGUCAAGCGACAAAGGAGAGAAAGAAAUCCAAGUCCUCUCUCACAAAAGUCAAAUGCUCCUGCACAGGGCCGGACUGCAGCGAGGAUUUGCACAGCGGUGCUCGUUAAAUGAUAUGCAGAUGUACGUGAGAGUCCGCUGAAAUCAGUGAGCUAUUUGGAAACAGGCUGGGCUGGAAGCGCUGCGCUCUUGGCGAUUUGGGGAAAAGCUGUUUGCAUUUCUCCCAGCGGGGCUGCCGGCCGUCGCUGACCUCCGUGCGGCUCCGAGCGGUAGGUGCAGCGCGUCCCUCGCCGCCGCGACGGGCGCGCUGGAGGGCGGCGAGGCUGGG
rnacentral:lncRNA from 1 species